CUACGGGUGGCAGCAGUGGGGAAUAUUGCACAAUGGAGGAAACUCUGAUGCAGCAACGCCGCGUGGAGGAUGACACUUUUCGGAGCGUAAACUCCUUUUAUAUAGGAAGAAGAUGACGGUACUAUAUGAAUAAGCGCCGGCUAACUCCGUGCCAGCAGCCGCGGUAAUACGGAGGGCGCAAGCGUUACUCGGAAUCACUGGGCGUAAAGAGCGUGUAGGCGGAUUAAAAAGUCAGAAGUGAAAUCCUAUAGCUUAACUAUAGAACUGCUUCUGAAACUCUUAAUCUAGAAUAUGGGAGAGGUAGAUGGAAUUUCUGGUGUAGGGGUAAAAUCCGUAGAGAUCAGAAGGAAUACCGAUUGCGAAGGCGAUCUACUAGAACAUUAUUGACGCUGAGACGCGAAAGCGUGGGGAGCAAACAGGAUUAGACCCCAGUAGUC
rnacentral:rRNA from 1 species